rnacentral:rRNA from 1 species
GACGAACGCUGGCGGCGUGCUUAACACAUGCAAGUCGAACGCAAAGGCCCUGCAUUUGUGGGGUGCUCGAGUGGCGAACAGGUGAGUGUCACGUGAGUAACCUGCCCUUUACUUUGGGAUAACUUCAUUAAACUGGGGCUAAUACCGCGUAUGAGCUCCUUCUGCAUGGUGGGUGUUUUAAAGUUGCGGCGGUUGGGUAUGGACUCGAGGCUUAUCAUUUUGUUGGUGGGGUAGUGGCGUACCAAGUCUUUGACGGGUUGCCGGACUGAGAGGGUGACCGGGCACAUUGGGACUGAGAAACGGCCCAGACUGAUACGGGAGGCAGCAGUGGAGAAUAUUGCAAAAAGGGCGGAAGGAGGAUGGAGGAAUGCCGCGUGCGGGAUGACGGUCUUCAGGGUGGAAACCGCUUUAGACUGUGAAGAAGAGUGAGUGACGGUAAUGGGUAAAGAAGCAACGGCUAACUACGUG